GUUUCAGCCGCCGCGGUAAUACGUAGGGUGCAAGCGUUAAUCGGAAUUACUGGGCGUAAAGCGUACGCAGGCGGCUAGGUAAGACAGGUGUGAAAUCCCCGGGCCUAACCUGGGAACUGCAUUUGUGACUGCUUAGCUAGAGUUUGUCAGAGGGGGGUGGAAUUCCACGUGUAGCAGUGAAAUGCGUAGAGAUGUGGAGGAACACCGAUGGCGAAGGCAGCCCCCUGGGAUGAGACUGACGCUCAUGUACGAAAGCGUGGGGAGCAAACAGGAUUAGAUACCCCGGUAGUCC
rnacentral:rRNA from 1 species